rnacentral:rRNA from 1 species
GACGAACGCUGGCGGCGUGCUUAACACAUGCAAGUCGAACGGAAAGGCCCUGCUUUUGUGGGGUGCUCGAGUGGCGAACGGGUGAGUAACACGUGAGUAACCUGCCCUUGACUUUGGGAUAACUUCAGGAAACUGGGGCUAAUACCGGAUAGGAGCUCCUGCUGCAUGGUGGGGGUUGGAAGUUUCGGGGGUUGGGGAUGGACUUGCGGCUUAUUAGGUUGUUGGUGGGGUAGUGGCUUACCAAGGCUUUGACGGGUAGCCGGCCUGAGAGGGUGACCGGCCACAUUGGGACUGAGAUACGGCCCAGACUCCUACGGGAGGCAGCAGUGGGGAAUAUUGCACAAUGGGCGGAAGCCUGAUGCAGCAACGCCGCGUGCGGGAUGACGGCCUUCGGGUUGUAAACCGCUUUCGCCUGUGACGAAGCGUGAGUGACGGUAAUGGGUAAAGAAGCACCGGCUAACUACGUG